UAUUCCUAUUUUAUACGUUCGUUUAUGCUUUGAUUAGUCUAUAUAAAUUAAAAUGUUGAUAACGUUUUCUGAUUACGAAAAUAUACAAAAAAUAAAUGUGAAACAGAAUAACAAAUUUGUGACUGAUGAGAAAUUGUUUCGUUCACAAUUAAUAAAACAUCAUAACAUAAACAAAUCUUACAUACUAUAAACAAUAUGUAUACAUAUUUUGAUCGUCCAAAUGAUAUAAUGUAAAUGACUAAGGAAGUGAAAUUAGAUUUUACAAAAAAAAAGAUCAAAAUCUAUCUAUAACAAUAAAGUAGGCAUAUCUGCCUUUUCCUGCGUCCACGUCGCUCUGGAGAGGUGGGGCAUUUUGCGACACGUGUCGAUGCGCUGAGACGUCUGUGUAUGUCACGUAAUUUUUUCCUGCGCGUCGCUUUGAUCUUUUCCUGAUUCUUCUAUUUGGGUUUCCCUUAUAUUUUUUUAAAAAAGCCCAGAUUCUGAUUUCUUCUUCGUUCUUCUCUUGCGGCGGAUGCUUUACCGUCAAAUUUUCACAGAAACUAAGCAGUCCCUUUGCUACCUGUAACUCCUCUCAACUCCUUAAAUCCGACUUUUAUUUUGAGUUUUUCACUUGAGUAAUCCACUCCUCCUUCAUUAAGAUCUGUGUGCACCUGUUUGUUUCCCUUGAAACCGCUUUCAUCCUCUCCGACAUUCAUCUGUACUCGAUUCUGGGAAGCCCGUAAUGGGAAGAAUGGAGGAGAGCUGAUGGGGAUUGACUUGCUCUUUCUUGAAGAAAAGGCAGAGAGAGAGAAGAGUCUGCUAAGAUAGAGAUGUGAGGCAUCAGGACUUCAAGGCGGCGAAGUUUGGGUUCUUCCGUUGAAUAUAUUCACUUACAAGAAAAUCUGCAACGGUGCUUCUGCUCAAGCGUCGAGGCACCAACGUCUCCAUGUACAUCAGGUACCCUAUGGCCAUCACAACACUUCUGUAUUCACACGGAAAUGCUGCUAAUAUUGUUCAGAUGUACUAGCUCUUAAUCGAGCUUACUAUUCAGCUCCGUAAAUGGGGUUAAUUCUUUUUUUUCUUUUGUGUGUAUUCACUUGCUGAUACUAAAGCUGUGGAUUUAAAUUCUCAGAUCAGUUUUUCAUUACUGUGUUUAGCUCAGAAAGUUAGAUCUGAAUUAUUAUUUUUGGAUUAUGUAAAUACUCUGCUUCUGAAUUUUUGUAGCUAUU